UUUUUAUUUUGUUGAGAAAGUCUAAGGUUAAUUGGCAGCAUAUUUUUAAUAGUAGAUAGAAUAAUGUCUGUUUUAUAAACAUUGACAUCCUACAUUACAUGUGUGAACCCUGAAAAUCUGAGACAGGUCUCAGAUUUUUUAGAAAGUUUAUUUUGCCACGUUUGAGGAUGCGCCCGUGAUGCCUCCGCAGGAGGUCCCGACAACACGGGCCCAAGGUGGUCGGGGCCCACCUUGGUUUUACACACUUUAGGGAGACAUGAGACAUCAAUCAAUGUGUGAAAGAUGUACCUUGGUUCACUCCAGAAAGGUGAGACAACUUGAAGAGAAGGCCAGACCGGGAGCUUCCAGGUCAUAGGUAUGUAAGAGACAAAUGGUUUCAUUCUUUUGAGUUUCCAGUUACCCUCUCCUGGUGAGGCACUCAGAUACGCAUUUCUCUCGGUGAGCAGACGGGUGACUCUCAGAGGGAGUCCUGUGUUGGAGACAAGCAUUCUGACCUGUAACUGAUUUCAGGAGCUUUCAGGAAAGCAUCAGUGGGAAAUAAUAUCUAAAUGACAAAAGAUGGCACCACAAGCGAAGAAGGAAACUCCUGCCCCUCCUAAAGCCAAAGCCAAAACAAAGGCUUUAAAGGCCAUGAAGGCAGUGUUGAAAUGUGUCCACAGCCCCCCC